UGGGGAAUAUUGCACAAUGGGCGCAAGCCUGAUGCAGCCAUGCCGCGUGUGUGAAGAAGGCCUUCGGGUUGUAAAGCACUUUCAGCGGGGAGGAAGGCGUUAAGGUUAAUAACCUUGGCGAUUGACGUGACCCGCAGAAGAAGCACCGGCUAACUCCGUGCCAGCAGCCGCGGUAAUACGGAGGGUGCAAGCGUUAAUCGGAAUAACUGGGCGUAAAGCGCACGCAGGCGGUCUGUCAAGUCGGAUGUGAAAUCCCCGGGCUCAACCUGGGAACUGCAUCUGAUACUGGCAAGCUUGAGUCUCGUAGAGGGGGGUAGAAUUCCAGGUGUAGCGGUGAACUGCGUAGAGAUCUGGGGGAAUACCGGUGGCGAAGGCGGCCCCCUGGACGAAGACUGACGCUCAGGUGCGAAGGCGUGGGGAGCAAACAGG
rnacentral:rRNA from 1 species